CCUACGGGUGGCUGCAGUGGGGAAUAUUGCACAAUGGGGGAAACCCUGAUGCAGCGACGCCGCGUGAGUGAAGAAGUAUUUCGGGAUGUAAAGCUCUAUCAGCAGGGAAGAAAAUGACGGUACCUGACUAAGAAGCCCCGGCUAACUACGUGCCAGCAGCCGCGGUAAUACGUAGGGGGCAAGCGUUAUCCGGAUUUACUGGGUGUAAAGGGAGCGUAGACGGCGGCACAAGUCUGAAGUGAAAUGCCGGGGCUUAACCCUGGAACUGCUUUGGAAACUGUGUAGCUAGAGUGCAGGAGAGGUAAGUGGAAUUCCUAGUGUAGCGGUGAAAUGCGUAGAUAUUAGGAGGAACACCAGUGGCGAAGGCGGCUUACUGGACUGUAACUGACGUUGAGGCUCGAAAGCGUGGGGAGCAAACAGGAUUAGAUACCCCUGUAGUC
rnacentral:rRNA from 1 species